CCGCUGCCGGGAGUAGCCAGGAGCUGCGACGCCGGAGCUCCUUCCAUCGGGGAGAAAAGUUGAGCUUUGUGCGAAAGGAGAAAAACCACCGAGGAUGCGGCUGUGGCCGCUCGCUCCUCCUUUCACCGAGCCCACCCACCUCUGGGAGAGGAGAGAAAGCGAAACCGACCCUCUCCCUUGGAGAAUCGGGAUCUGAAGCCGCUUUGCAUCGUCCCGAAGUUUACAGGGGACGGGGAUGAAGACGGGGAUGGGGCUGCGAGCGCUGCCGCCGCCGCUCUCCCACGGCAGCACUCGGGCUGCCUUGAUUUCUCCCGGUGCCUUCCCUCACUCCUACUCACUACUGACACCUAGGAUCUCCAGCCUGAUUGGGCUAAUUGGGAAAUGUGGCUACCCACCCUCCUUUCCCCCCCGUCCUCCCCCCAAUAGAUAAAUAAAUAAA